GUUCUGGAGGCAGCUUUGUAGAGUGAUGUUCUGGAGGCAGCUCUGUAGAGUGGUGUUCUGGAGGCAGCUUUGUAGAGUGGUGUUCUGGAGGCAGCUUUGUAGAGUGGUGUUCUGGAGGCAGCUCUGUAGAGUGGUGUUCUGGAGGCAGCUCUGUAGAGUGGUGUUCUCGAGGCAGUUCUACGGAGUGGUGUUCUGGAGGCAGCUCUGUAGAGUGGUGUUCUCGAGGCAGUUCUAUGGAGUGGUGUUCUGGAGGCAGCUCUGUAGAGUGGUGUUCUGGAGGCAGCUCUGUAGAGUGGUGUUCUGGAGGCAGCUCUGUAGAGUGGUGUUCUGGAGGCAGCUUUGUAGAGUGAUGUUCUGGAGGCAGCUUUGUAGAGUGAUGUUCUGGAGGCAGCUCUGUAGAGUGGUGUUCUGGAGGCAGCUUUGUAGAGUGAUGUUCUGGAGGCAGCUCUGUAGAGUGGUGUUCUGGAGGCAGCUUUGUAGAGUGGUGUUCUG
rnacentral:lncRNA from 1 species